GAUGAAGAACGUAGCGAAAUGCGAUACGUAAUGUGAAUUGCAGAAUUCAGUGAAUCAUCGAAUCUUUGAACGCAUAUUGCGCUCUUUGGUAUUCCGAAGAGCAUGCUUGUUUGAGUAUCAGUAAACACCUCAACCUCUUCUUGAUUUUUCAAAAGGAGGGUGGACUUGAGCUAUCCCAACAACCUUUACCGGUCGGCGGGCGGCUUGAAAUGCAGGUGCAGCUGGACUUUUAUCUGAGCUAAAAGCAUAUCUAUUUAGUCCUCGUCAAACAGGAUUAUUACUUUUGCUGCAGCUAACAUAAAGGAUAAUUGUCCUCUUUGCUGACUGAUGCAGGAUUUUACGACACUUUAUGUGUUGUUCAACUCGAUCUCAAAUCAAGUAAGACUACCCGCUGAACUUAAGCAUAUCAAUAAGCUGAGGA
rnacentral:misc_RNA from 1 species